UACAGAGGUCUCAAGCGUUGUUCGGAUUCAUUGGGCGUAAAGGGUGCGUAGGCUGUAGUGUAAGUCUAGUGUGAAAUCUCGGAGCUUAACUUCGAAACUGCACUGGAUACUGCAUUACUAGAGGAUUGUAGAGGAGAUUGGAAUUCACGGUGUAGCAGUGAAAUGCGUAGAUAUCGUGAGGAAGGCCAGUGGCGAAAGCGAAUCUCUGGGCAAUUCCUGACGCUGAGGCACGAAGGCUAGGGGAGCAAACGGG
rnacentral:rRNA from 1 species